rnacentral:pre_miRNA from 1 species
AAAAAGACCAAGUCUGAUGCACUAUUCCCUGGUCUGUAGUCAUGUCUAUGGGUUCUUGAGUUUGCUACCUGGGUGAAGGACUGCU